rnacentral:rRNA from 1 species
UACGGAGGGUCCAAGCGUUAUCCGGAAUCAUUUGGGUUUAAAGGGUCCGUAGGCGGUUUUUGUAAGUCAGUGGUGAAAGCCCAUCGCUCAACGGUGGAACGGCCAUUGAUACUGCAAGACUUGAAUUUAUUUAGGAAGUAACUAGAAUAUGUAGUGUAGCGGUGAAAUGCUUUAGAUAUUACAUGGAAUACCAAUUGCGAAGGCAGGUUUACUACUAAUUGAUUUGACGCUGAUGGACGAAAGCGUGGGGUAGCGAACAGG